GACGAACGCUGGCGGCGUGCCUAAUACAUGCAAGUAGAACGCUUAAGAGAGGCGCUUGCUCUUCUUGGAUGAGUUGCGAACGGGUGAUUAACGCGUAGGUAACCUGCCUGGUAGCGGGGGAUAACUAUUGGAAACGAUAGCUAAUACCGCAUAAAAUGGAUUAUCUCAUGAUAAUCCAUUGCAAGGUGCAAAUGCAUCACUACCAGCUGGACCUUCGUUUUAUUAGCUAGUUGGUGGGGUAACGGCUCACCAAGGCGACGAUACAUAGCCGAGCUGGGAGGGUGAUCGGGCAAACUGGGAAUGGGAAACGGCCCAGACUUCUAAGGGGAGGAGCAGGAGGGAAACUUCGGAAAUGGACGGAAGGCUUAACGAGGAACGCCGGGGGAGGGAAGAAGGGUUUCGGAUCGGAAAGCUAUGUUGUAAGAGAAGAAAGAGUGUGAGAGUAGAAAGUUCACACUGUGACGGUAUCUUAACAGAAAGGGACGGCUAACUACGUG
rnacentral:rRNA from 1 species